rnacentral:rRNA from 1 species
GGAAGUAAAAGUCGUAACAAGGUCUCCGUUGGUGAACCAGCGGAGGGAUCAUUACCGAGUUUUCAACUCCCUAACCCUUAUGUGAACCUACCUAUUGUUGCUUCGGCGGACUCGCCCCAGCCGGACGCGGACUGGACCAGCGGCCGCCGGGGACCCUCAAACUCUUGUAUUAUCAGCAUCUUCUGAAUACGCCGCAAGGCAAAACAAAUAAAUCAAAACUUUCAACAACGGAUCUCUUGGCUCUGGCAUCGAUGAAGAACGCAGCGAAAUGCGAUAAGUAAUGUGAAUUGCAGAAUCCAGUGAAUCAUCGAAUCUUUGAACGCACAUUGCGCCCACCAGCAUUCUGGCGGGCAUGCCUGUUCGAGCGUCAUUUCAACCCUCGACCUCCCUUUGGGGAAGUCGGCGUUGGGGACCGGCAGCACACCGCCGGCCCUGAAAUGGAGUGGCGGCCCGUCCGCGGCGACCUCUGCGUAGUAAUCCAACUCGCACCGGAACCCCGACGCGGCCACGCCGUAAAACACCCAACUUCUGAACGUUGACCUCGAAUCAGGUAGGACUACCCGCUGAACUUUAAGCAUAUCAAUAAGCGGAGGAA